CCGCGCGGUGACCCAGGGGAUGCAGUGCUCCCAACGCCGGUAGCUCUCUGGAGCGCAGACUGCCCGCUCUGCAGACUGCCCGGUUCCACGUGUCGCGCCUUAAUUGGUUCCUGGAUGGAUGGGAUGGGAUGGAUGGACGGACCUAAGGUCACGGACUUCCUCUGAAACUCUGACCCUGAGCUCCAACUCCAGCCUCUUUCAUGUUUGUAUGGAAGACAUUUUUCAGCUGUCUUCGAAGCUUCUAUGAAAGUAAUAAAAUGAUCUUUUGAAAACCUGA